rnacentral:rRNA from 1 species
UACGUAGGGUGCAAGCGUUGUCCGGAAUUAUUGGGCGUAAAGAGCUCGUAGGCGGUUUGUCGCGUCUGCUGUGAAAUCUUAGGGCUUAACCCUGAGCUUGCAGUGGGUACGGGCAGACUAGAGUGCGGUAGGGGAGACUGGAAUUCCUGGUGUAGCGGUGAAAUGCGCAGAUAUCAGGGAGGGAACACCCGGUGGCGAAAGGCGGGUCUCUGGGCCGUAACUGACGCUGGAGGAG